CCAUUUAGGGCCCAAACGCUAAGUAAAGUAUGUUUUUCAAGACAACAAGGAAACUACUGAAGGACUUGUAACUGCAUGGUAGCUUGACGGGAUUGGCAAAUUGAAAGUUUUACUUUAGGCACAAAUCCCAAAAAAAGGAUUAGAUGUGGGUUGAAGUAGCUACAGUAUUCCUAAUUUAGUCAGGAGUCUUUGGCAGAUAAGAGGUUAGAAAUGACAUGAUAGAUUAGGGUAGUGUAAUGGAACUGGAGAGAAUUAGAAUUGGGAAGGAUGACAAAACUUGAUGGGAUUGGAUUCAGGCAGGGUUAGGAGGAGGGAUGUUGGACAUUUGUAACUGAAUGACAUUCACUUAUAAAGUAAUGUAUUUGGAGAUGUAUAGGUGGGGAGAUCAUUAUGUUUGGUUGAAGACUUAAGAAUUUCUGAUGCCUUUGAAUUGCCCAAGAGGUUUCUGGAUAGAACAUGGAGCUAUGUGAGGUCUAGACUGAAAAUUAAAACUGUUAAGUAUGUAGGGAAAGAUUAAAGUCUUGAGUAUUCAUGAAGUAGACUGAGAAGACAGCCUAAGUGUGUACAGUGAAGAAUUCCAGUUUAUAUUUGACUAGGUUGAAGAUGAACUGAACAAGGAGGAGUUACAGAUACCAGAAGGGUGUUGUGCUAUUGAAGAUGAACAGAGUCUCAAUCUGUUGCCAAGGCUCGAGUGUCGUGGCUACAUCUCAGCUUACUGCUGCAACCUCUGCCUCCUGGGUUCAAGUGAUUCUCCUGCCUCAGCCUCCUGAGUAACUGGAAUUACAGGUACCCACCACCACUCCCAGCUAAUUUUAUUUUUUUUGGUGUUUUUUAAUAGACACAGGGUUUCAUUAUGUUGGCCAGGCUGGUCUUGAACUCCUGACCUCAAGUAAUCCACCCAUCUCCGCCUCUCAAAGUGCUGGGAUUACAGGUGUGAGUCACUGUGCCUGGCCCAGUUUUUAGAAGAGA
rnacentral:lncRNA from 1 species